rnacentral:rRNA from 1 species
AAGCGCUUGCAGCCAGACUUGUUUGCAGUUGCUCAUCCGGGCGUUCGCCCGGUGCACUCUUCUGUAGGCAGGCCAGCAUCAGUUUGGGCGGUUGGAUAAAGGCCUCUGUCAUGUAUCUUCUCCGGAAGACCUUAUAGGGGAGGCGUAAUGCAACCAGCCUGGACUGAGGUCCGCGCAUCUGCUAGGAUGCUGGCGUAAUGGCUGUAAGC